rnacentral:rRNA from 1 species
AUUGAACGCUGGCGGCAUGCCUUACACAUGCAAGUCGAACGGCAGCGGGGGAGAAGCUUGCUUUUCCUGCCGGCGAGUGGCGAACGGGUGAGUAAUACAUCGGAACGUGCCCUGUAGUGGGGGAUAACUAGUCGAAAGAUUAGCUAAUACCACAUACGACCUGAGGGUGAAAGUGGGGGACCGCAAGGCCUCAUGCUAUAGGAGCGGCCGAUGUCUGAUUAGCUAGUUGGUGGGGUAAAGGCCUACCAAGGCGACGAUCAGUAGCUGGUCUGAGAGGACGAUCAGCCACACUGGGACUGAGACACGGCCCAGACUCCUACGGGAGGCAGCAGUGGGGAAUUUUGGAAAAUGGGCGAAAGCCUGAUCCAGCAAUGCCGCGUGUGUGAAGAAGGCCUUCGGGUUGUAAAGCACUUUUGUCCGGAAAGAAAUGGCUCUGGUUAAUACCUGGGGUCGAUGACGGUACCGGAAGAAUAAGGACCGGCUAACUACGUGCCAGCCGCCGCCGUAA